rnacentral:tRNA from 1 species
CAUUAGAUGACUGAAAAACAAGUAUUGGUCUCUUAAACCAAAUUAUAGUAAUUUUGUAUUUACUUCUAAUGA